rnacentral:rRNA from 1 species
GCAAUGUGCACGCGCCGCCAUUUUUAUCUUUCCACCUGUGCACCGACUGUAGGUCUGGAUACCUCUCGCCUCCGGGCGGAUGCGAGGGUUGCUCGUAAGGGCUUCCCUUGAACUUCCAGGCUCUACGUCUUUUUACACACCCCAAUAGUAUGAUGCAGAAUGUAGUCAAUGGGCUUCUCAGCCUAUAAAACACUAUACAACUUUCAGCAACGGAUCUCUUGGCUCUCGCAUCGAUGAAGAACGCAGCGAAAUGCGAUAAGUAAUGUGAAUUGCAGAAUUCAGUGAAUCAUCGAAUCUUUGAACGCACCUUGCGCUCCUUGGUAUUCCGAGGAGCAUGCCUGUUUGAGUGUCAUUAAAUUCUCAACCUCACCAGUUUUCUGAACUGACUGAGGCUUGGAUGUGGGGGCUUGUGCAGGCUGCCUCACCGGCGGUCUGCUCCCCUGAAAUGCAUUAGCGAGGUUCAUGCUGGACCUCCGUCUAUUGGUGUGAUAAUUAUCUACGCCGUGGACGAGGAUACAGACUCGCUUCUAACCGUCCGCGAGGA